UAAGCGUACACGGUGGAUGCCCUGGCAGUCAGAGGCGAUGAAGGGCGUGCUAAUCUGCGAUAAGCGCCGGUAAGGUGAUAUGAACCGUUAUAACCGGCGAUACCCGAAUGGGGAAACCCAGUGUGACUCGUCACACUAUCAUUAACUGAAUCCAUAGGUUAAUGAGGCGAACCGGGGGAACUGAAACAUCUAAGUACCCCGAGGAAAAGAAAUCAACCGAGAUUCCCCCAGUAGCGGCGAGCGAACGGGGAGGAGCCCAGAGCCUGAAUCAGCAUGUGUGUUAGUGGAAGCGUCUGGAAAGGCGCGCGAUACAGGGUGACAGCCCCGUACACAAAAGCGCAUGUGCUGUGAGCUCGAUGAGUAGGGCGGGACACGUGGUAUCCUGUCUGAAUAUGGGGGGACCAUCCUCCAAGGCUAAAUACUCCUGACUGACCGAUAGUGAACCAGUACCGUGAGGGAAAGGCGAAAAGAACCCCGGCGAGGGGAGUGAAAAAGAACCUGAAACCGU
rnacentral:rRNA from 1 species